rnacentral:rRNA from 1 species
CCUAGUACGAGAGGACCGGAGUGGACGCAUCACUGGUGUUCGGGUUGUCAUGCCAAUGGCACUGCCCGGUAGCUAAAUGCGGAAGAGAUAAGUGCUGAAAGCAUCUAAGCACGAAACUUGCCCCGAGAUGAGUUCUCCCUGACUCCUUGAGAGUCCUGAAGGAACGUUGAAGACGACGACGUUGAUAGGCCGGGUGUGUAAGCGCAGCGAUGCGUUGAGCUAACCGGUACUAAUGAACCGUGAGGCUUAACCUU